CGAGGAGAGUUUUUUAUUUAAUACAUUUUAGAAUAAGGCUGUAACCUAACAAAAUGUGGAAAAAGUCAAGGUCUGAAUUCUUUCCGAAAGCACUGUAUAUUAUUAUUCCCGAUAUCCCGUCAUUUUUUUGGGGGGGGGGGUCGCGGAUACUGGUGUUAAUCCCUAUUUAUAACGUAUAUUUGUACAGUGUAUUGAUCUGACACCACUAAAGAAGUUUAAUGGGCCUGACCAGAGUAUGCGGCCCAAAUGGUACCCUAUUCCCUAUAUAGUUCACUACUUUGACCAGAGUCUUAUGGGACUGGUCAAAAUUAGUGCAAUAAAAGAAGAAUAGUGUACCAUUUGGGAUGCAAUCCAGGUGAUUACUCCUACAGAGGCUCAUCAGCCACUAUGAGCCUUCUACAGAUCGGACAGGUGCUGGGUGUGAAGACAUCUAAAAGCCCUUCCUAUACUGAUGAUCUAACCUAACCUGUGGCAUCACGACUCACUCACAACCCUCAUCAACACACCGCCACCGCACAUGCCCAGUGGCCCACAACAUCAGUGACAUCAUCAUGCUUCCACAUCAAACUAUAAAGACUGGAAAUGAUAACACAGACAGCAUCUAAAGUGUGUUUGAGUUCAGUGGUUCCCACAUGUGGGCACACAGAGUGGAGCAGGCUCAGACAUGGGGGCCAUUUAGAAAAACAGACAGAGAAUACGUAUUUCCGCUGGUUCUCAAACCCAGAUUAGACUCGAGAUGUCUUAAGUAGCUGAACAUGUUAUUACUUCGACCUUGUGAAAGUGACAAACUGACACUUUUUUUUCAUUUUGUAAAAAAACGACUUUAUAUAGAAGGAGUGCCUUUGAUUUUACGGCCUGCACAUGAGCUAAGCUAGCUAACAUCGCCCAUGACAUCGACUACAAGCGUGAUCUGGGAUUUCUAUUGGAGAAGCAGUUUCUGGAGCUCUUCAUCUAUCGGCUCUUUGGGCUCUCUCUCAUCUAGCUCAGUUGCUGCUCUCUGUCAGUGACAUCAUGGGAAGUCUUUGAGCUUGUACAAAUAGAUGUCAUGGAAUGAAUUCACCUCUCUCUCAUGUUGUGUAACAAUGAUGAUGAUGAUGAUGAGCGCACAAUGCAUGUGUGACUGACUAUGAGUCCUAUCUGAAUGAGACUAUUGUCUGUGCUGACGUGUGAUGAUAACACUUCUUCAACAUAAGCUUUAUACAUAGCGUCCACUGUGUGUACAGGACGCCCAGGCUACGGCAUUGCCCUCCCGGCGCCUACCCUCCAUGGCAAGCUGAAAGGGCACGUACAUUUAAUUCCAGACUCAGUGGUGGUAGUCACAGUUUAAUCAUCAUUCCAAAAAUCUCUUCUGCUUUUUUCUCUGUGGGGUGAUUUCACUGUACGCAAAUAAAAUAACCAUCAUUAUGCUGAUUCUGAAUGGAUAUAUGAUCACGGUACAUUUCCAAAAUAAAUGAUUUUUCAAUGGGAGUUCUGGUACUGCAUACUGUAAAGGGUAUGGAAGGAGUGUGUGUAAGUAAGGGGGUUGAUGUGAAUGGAGAGUGACCUUGAAAUUGUAUGACUGUUAACCAUGGUAGCAUACACUGAGAUGGUGUUGACAGUGAAUGUGUAAUGAUGUGUAUAAUAUGUGUCAUUAUAACACAGCCAGCAACAUUUUAAGUUUCUUUGAGUUCAAUGAUUCUCACAUGUGGGCACACAGAAAGGAGCAGGCUCAGACACGAGCCAUUUUGAAAAACAGACAGAGGAUAGGCGCCUCUGCAUGUCUCAUCUGGCUCAGGUGCUGCUCUUUGUCAGUGACAUCAUCAUCGCGGGCAGGAAGCCUUUGAGCCGAAGCAAAGCGAUGAUGUCAUGGAAUGGAUUCACAAAUACACAAUGCAGUUGUGAUUGACUUUGAGUCCUAUCUGAAUAUGAGACUAUUGUCUGUGCUGACGAUUGAUGAUAACACUUCUUCGACAAAAGCUUUGGAGCGUCCACUGUGUCUGGAUACAAGAGACUGUACAGGAUGCUCAGAAGAAGAAGAGGGGGAGUAGGUAGGCACUGCCUGCCUGGCACCUGCCCUCCAUAACCAGCUUAAAGGGCACAUACUGUACACAGCCACAGGCAGGACACAGCCACACUAGUACAGCCACAGGCAGGACACAGCCACAUACUAGUACAGCAACAAGAAGAACACAGCCACAUACUAGUAGAGCCACAGGCAGGACACAGCCACAUACUAGUAUAGCCACAGGCAGGAUAUAGCCACAUACUAGUAUAGCCACAGGCAGGAUAUAGCCACAUACUAGUACAGCCACAGGCAGGACACAGCCACAUACUAGUACAGCCACAGGCAGGACACAGCCAUAUGCUAUGUACAGCCACAGGCAGCACACAGCCACAUACUAGCACAGCCACAGGCAGGACAUAGCAGCCACAGGAAAGACACACAGCCACAUACUAGUAGAGCCACAGGCAGGACACAGCAGCCACAGGCAGGACACAGGCAGCACACAGCCACAUACUAGCACAGCCACAGGCAGGACACAGCCACAUACUAUUACAGCAACAGGAGGGACACAGCCAUGUACUAGUAGAGCCGCAGGUAGAACACAGCAGCCACAGGCAGAACACAGCAGCCACAGGAAAGACACAGACACAGGCAGGAAACAGCAGCCACAGGCAAGACACAGCCACAUACUAUUACAGCCACAGGCAGAACACAGCAGCCACAGGCAGGACAGAGCCACAUACUAGCACAGCCACAGGCAGGACACAGCCACAUAAUAGCACAGCCACAGGCAGGACACAGCCACAGGCAGGACACAGGCGGACACAGCCACACAAUAGUAGAGCCACAGGCAGGACACAGCAGUCACAGGCAGGGCACAGCCACAUACUAGUACAGCCACAGGCAGAACACGCCAUAUACUAGUACAGCCACAGGCAGGACACAGCCACAUACUAGUACUGCCACAGGCAGGACACAGAAGCCACAGGCAGGACACAGCCACAUACUAGUGCAGCUACAGUCAGGACACAGACACAUUUAAUGGUAGUCACAGUUUAAUCAUAAUUCCAAAAUUGUCAUGUGUUUUUUUCUCUGUGGGGUGAUGUCACUGUACGCAAAUAAAAUAACUAUCAUUAUGCUGAUUCCGAAUGGAUAUAUGAUCACCGUACUUUUCCAAAAUAAAUUAUUUUUCAAUGGGAGUCCUGUCCUGGUACUGUAUCAAUACUGUAAAGGG
ensembl:lncRNA